rnacentral:rRNA from 1 species
GCAGCACGGGUGCUUGCACCUGGUGGCGAGUGGCGAACGGGUGAGUAAUACAUCGGAACGUACCAUAUCGUGGGGGAUAACGCAGCGAAAGCUGUGCUAAUACCGCAUACGCCCUGAGGGGGAAAGCGGGGGAUCGAAAGACCUCGCGCGAUUAGAGCGGCCGAUGCCUGAUUAGCUUGUUGGUGGGGUAAAAGCCCACCAAGGCGACGAUCAGUAGCUGGUCUGAGAGGACGAUCAGCCACACUGGGACUGAGACACGGCCCAGACUCCUACGGGAGGCAGCAGUGGGGAAUUUUGGACAAUGGGGGAAACCCUGAUCCAGCAAUGCCGCGUGAGUGAAGAAGGCCUUCGGGUUGUAAAGCUCUUUUGUCAGGGAAGAAACACCGGCUCUAACACAGUCCGGGAAUGACGGUACCUGAAGAAUAAGCACCGGCUAACUACGUGCCAGCAGCCGCGGUAAUACGUAGGGUGCGAGCGUUAAUCGGAAUUACUGGGCGUAAAGCGUGCGCAGGCGGUUAUACAAGACAGGCGUGAAAUCCCCGGGCUUAACCUGGGAAUGGCGCCUGUGACUGUAUAGCUAGAGUGUGUCAGAGGGUGGUAGAAUUCCACGUGUAGCAGUGAAAUGCGUAGAUAUGUGGAGGAAUACCAAUGGCGAAGGCAGCCCCCUGGGAUAACACUGACGCUCAUGCACGAAAGCGUG